rnacentral:rRNA from 1 species
UACGUAGGGUGCAAGCGUUGUCCGGAAUUAUUGGGCGUAAAGAGCUCGUAGGCGGUUUGUCGCGUCUGCUGUGAAAGUUCGGGGCUCAACCCCGGAACUGCAGUGGGUACGGGCAGACUAGAGUGCGAUAGAGGAGACUGGAAUUCCUGGUGUAGCGGUGGAAUGCGCAGAGAUCAGGAGGAACACCAGUGGCGAAGGCGGGUCUCUGGGCCGCAACUGACGCUGAGGAGCGAAAGAGUGGGGAGCGAACAGG